CCUACGGGAGGCAGCAGUGGGGAAUAUUGCACAAUGGGGGCAACCCUGAUGCCUCGCCGCCGCUUGCUUGAAGAAGUAAUUCUUUACGUAAAGCUCUAUCAGCAGGGAAGAAACACUGACCUUACGGUCAGCAGACGGUACCUGAGUAAGAAGCCCCGUCUAACUACGUGCCAGCAGCCGCGGUAAUACGUAGGGGGCAAGCGUUAUCCGGAUUUACUGGGGGGAAAGGGAGCGUAGACGGUGCGGCAAGUCUGGAGGGAAAUGCCGCAGCUUAACUGCGGAACUGCGUGGGAAACUGGCGAACUAGAGUGCGGGAGGGGUAAGCGGAAUUCCUAGUGUAGCGGUGAAAUGCGUAGAUAUUAGGAGGAACACCGGUGGCGAAGGCGGCUUACUGGACCGUAACUGACGUUGAGGCUCGAAAGCGUGGGGAGCAAACAGGAUUAGAUACCCGAGUAGUC
rnacentral:rRNA from 1 species